GUUUUGAUAUAUACAAGAAGGA
rnacentral:miRNA from 1 species